GAUGAACGCUGGCGGCGUGCCUAAUACAUGCAAGUCGAGCGAACGGACGAGAAGCUUGCUUCUCUGAUGUUAGCGGCGGACGGGUGAGUAACACGUGGAUAACCUACCUAUAAGACUGGGAUAACUUCGGGAAACCGUAGCUAAUACCGGAUAAUAUUUUGAACCGCAUGGUUCAAAAGUGAAAGACGGUCUUGCUGUCACUUAUAGAUGGAUCCGCGCUGCAUUAGCUAGUUGGUAAGGUAACGGCUUACCAAGGCAACGAUGCAUAGCCGACCUGAGAGGUGGAUCGGCCACACUGGAACUGAGACACGGUCCAGACUCCUACGGGAGGCAGCAGUAGGGAAUCUUCCGCAAUGGGCGAAAGCCUGACGGAGCAACGCCGCGUGAGUGAUGAAGUUCUUCGGAUCUUAAAACUCUGUUAUUAGGGAAGAACAUAUGUGUAAGUAACUGUGCACAUCUUGACGGUACCUAAUCAGAAAGCCACGGCUAACUACGUG
rnacentral:rRNA from 1 species